rnacentral:rRNA from 1 species
CAAUAGCGUAUAUUUAAGUUGUUGCAGUUAAAAAGCUCGUAGUUGGAUUUCGGUUAAGAGCGACCGGUCCGCCGUUUGGUGUGCACUGGUUGGUUUUAACUUCCUGUAGAGGACGUGCUCUGGGUUUAACGACCUGGACUCGGAGUCUACGUGGUUGCUUUGAAAAAAUUAGAGUGUUCAAAGCGGGCUUACGCUUGAAUAUUUCAGCAUGGAAUAACACUAUAGGACUCCUGUCCUAUUUCGUUGGUCUCGGGACGGGAGUAAUGAUUAAGAGGAACAGUUGGGGGCAUUCGUAUUUCAUUGUCAGAGGUGAAAUUCUUGGAUUUAUGAAAGACGAACUUCUGCGAAAGCAUUUGCCAAGGAUGUUUUCAUUAA